rnacentral:tRNA from 1 species
GCACUGGUGGUUCGGUGGUAAAAUUCUUGAUUUCCGUGCCGGAGUACCUGGGUUUGAUUCCCAGCCCGUGCU